CCAGGGCUACUCAGAGACGGCAGACUUGGUGGGAGGUCUUAAGUCAGCAGAGGUAUGCCUCUGAAGGAGGUUUAAGACCCUAGCCCCAGCUCUUCAUCUCUUGUAGUUUCCCUAAUGCCUUGAGGUAAAUAGCAUGUCCCCACCAUGAUAUACCAUGCUGCCAUGAGCGACAUGGGUAACCCCAAAACUGUGAACCAAAACAAACCCUCCUUCUAAACUCAAUUCGCCUCGGGUGUUUGUUGCACUAGUGGGAAGCUGUCUCACGCGGACCAGAUGAGCCCUCAUCAUUCUGGCACAUAACAGAUUGUGUGCCCUCAGCACUGGCUUACAAUAUUCCAGCACAUGUUAGUUGAAUUAAUUAGUGAUUCAGUAAAUAUAUAGACUUGGCAUCUUGCACUGAACUUAGGUUUCUAUGUCUCUGAUUAGAAGUUUCCGGACGUUUAUUAAUAAUCACGACGGUCCCUCUUAGAGGCCUUUCCUGGAGUAGACUCCAGCUCCACUUCCGAAGGCACACCCUCCGUCUUCCUCCUCCUACCCCUGACAUGACUGUGAUCACCUCUGUCAUCUCUGGAUGCCUCACUGGCUGGCAUGCAGGUGAUUAACCUCCCUGACCGCUAGAGGGCGAGCUUAAUGUCAAGCGCUGGUGCGAGCCUGCUGACUACACAAAGCUGGAUGCUUCUUGCUGAGACAACCAGGACACUCUUAGUAACUACGGGAGACAGCGGGUGUAACCAGGGGUGUUGGGGUCGGUUCCGUGCGGCCAGCUCCCUCCUGCAGAGCGGACAGGGCAGGGCAGCACAGCCUGCACGCGGGAAUCCUUUCACCCCAGCGCUGAUUACAGCGCACCCCUCCGGGGUCGGGACGAGGCCCGGCAAACAGCUGCGAGCGGCGCCUUCGGGAGCAGAGUUCCAGAAGCUUCAGCGAGUCACAUCUGCACAGAUGAGUGGCAUGAUAAUCCAGACCAUUUUCAAACUCCCUCCGUAGGCAAGGAACUCAAACAAGCAAGACAGCGCGAAGACAAAGCUGAAUUUUUGUGUAUGGUGAAUGCUUCUGCCCAGACGGUGCUUCGUUAAAAAGUGGUGUGUACACCUGUGAUCACAGCAUUCAGUAAGCUAAGACAGAAAAAUUGGAGAGAAUCUGAGACCAGCCUGGACUACACGGUGAGAAUGGUCUUGAAGAGGAGGGGUAAAAGGAGAAAAGAAAGGCACAGGAGGAGGAGAGGAGAAAGAAAAAGAAAAGCUUAGUUUAUGAAGUUGAUCUCUCCAAGAGAGUGAACCAGAUGUCAUCUGUGUCCUGAAACAGAAGAGUUUCCAAGGUGCCCGUGGGGCACAGAGUCACUAUGUCUAAUCAACGAGGUCGGAAGAGUUAUCAGAGUGUGCCUAGGCCUUUGUAUUUGGAAAGUGCCUGUGCCAAGGAAAAACCGUACAGCCUUUGGACGAGAGGAACCAAAGAGCUCCAUCUAGUGACUUAAGAGUUCUUCUCAGGUUAAAAUCAGUAGGAAGAAAGCAAGACAUCCUCACAGAUGAGAGCCCGAAAAGAAACUGUGCAGUUAAAACAAAAAGCCCCAAAGCACUCCACACGGGACCUCCAACACCUGUAAACCCAAGUUUACAAGUUUUUAAAUAUAAAUAAAUAAAAUACUUUAUGAUAUUUUAUGUGAAAAGUUUUAUGUUCAUAAAACUAUGCAGGCAAAUAAACACUUUUCAUUA